UUUAUGAAAAGGCAAACUUGUCGAAAGAUGAGGACGCAAAGCUAAGGGUCUAAAGUAAAUUCAACUAUUCUAUGAUCGCCUGGCUGCCAUA
rnacentral:ncRNA from 2 species